rnacentral:rRNA from 1 species
AACGGGGGGGAGCAAGCGUUUGUUCGUCUUAACUGGGCGUAAAGGACGUGUUUUUUAGGUGGUUUUAUUUUUUAAUAAAAAAAAAAAGCUCUUUGGCUAAACUAUCUUUUUUUAUUGUAUUUUUUAUUAAAAAUAAAAAUUAAAAAUUACUUUGAGUUAAAAAGAAGAUUUUUUUUGGUUACUUUUUAGUUGCACGGAGUAAAAUCUUAUUGUGGAUUAUUAAAGGACACUCAUUUGGUCGAAGGCAAAUUUCUUUUUGGUUUAACUAACAUUGAGGCGUAAAGCAUGGGGAUCAAACGGG